AUGUUCAAGUGGCUUGACUUGGUACAUGUUCAUGCAUGCGUUGGUUGCAAGGUUCUUAUUUGUUUGUGUAGGUACGAGGUCACUUGUGCGUGGUCUCCUACUGGAUUGAUACCUUGGUUCUCAAAAACUAAGGGAAAUACUUACGCUGCUUUGCUGCAUCAUCCUUUCCUUUUCAAGGGAAAACCAACACAUGCUCAAGAGGUAGCACUACCGCUUAGUGAAAAAGUAAAGCAAUUUCAUGGUGAUUGCAUUUCAUACAAUAAAGUGAAAACCAUAAGGCUCCUGUUAGUUGCCGAUAACUUUUACAAAACAUGA
rnacentral:rRNA from 1 species